AAUAAACAUAGUUGUGGGUUUUAGUGUCCAAUUUUGAUCAACCGUUUUAUUUGAAAUAUUGUUAUGAUUAGUAUUUUUAUUGUUAUUAGAUGAUAAAACAUGAAAAGUAUUUUAUGUGUGACUUAACUUUUAAUUUUUUUAAAAUAAAAUGGACAGUGAAACGUUUGGCACGAAAACUUAUGGCUCCACUUAUA
rfam:Oryza glaberrima chromosome 2 Oglab02_0210_2, whole genome shotgun sequence.